rnacentral:misc_RNA from 1 species
GAAAUGCGAUAAGUAAUGUGAAUUGCAGAAUUCAGUGAAUCAUCGAAUCUUUGAACGCAGCUUGCGCUCCUUGGUAUUCCUUGGAGCAUGCCUGUUUGAGUAUCAUGAAAUCUUCAAAGUAAAUCUUUUGUUAACUCAAUUGGUUUCUACUUUGGUAUUGGAGGUCUUUGCAGCUUCACACCUGCUCCUCUUUGUUCAUUAGCUGGAUCUCAGUGUUAUGCUUGGUUCCACUCGGCGUGAUAAGUUAUCUAUCGCUGAGGACACUGUAAAUGGUGGCCAAGGUAAAUGCAGAUGAACCGCUUCUAAUAGUCCAUUGACUUGGACAAUACUUUUAUGAUCUGAUCUCAAAUCAGGUAGGACUACCCGCUGAACUUAAGC